CUAUCUGUACCCUGUAGAACCGAAUUUGUGUGAACAGCUAAAAAUCGCAAAUUAGCCUCUACAGGAAUAUAUGGG
rnacentral:pre_miRNA from 1 species